CAGUGGAAAAGUUUUGACGGACGGUGAAAGGCGAUUGAAGGUGAUGAAGCUAGAGGCGACGAUGGAGUGAGAGGGUCGAUUUUGGGUUUGAGGUUUUACGGCGAUGUGUGGCGGCGAGGUAAGCGAUUUACACGGAGGUGGAGCGGAGGUUGCGGUUGCUUGACGGUAGUGUGGAUAGGCGGAGGGUUUUGAUGGUGAGUGGUGUGGUGGCUGAGGUUUUGAAGAUGUACUCGUAAGGAGGACGACGGUGGUUUUAAUGGAGGUGACGGCGGUGUGGAGUUAAGGGUUUUGAAGGUAGUGGAGACGGAAGGAUUCGCCGGCGAAUUUGUGUGAAGAUGAUGGGAACGGCGGCGAGGGUUUUGAAGAGAGAUUUGGGGUUUUGGUGGUUGUUUAAUGGUGGUGUUGGUGGAUGAGUGAAUCGAUGGAGGUGGUGAUUUGAAGCGAUGAAGCUGGAGGCGACGAUGGAGAAUGUGUGAUUUUGACGGUUGGUUGAAGAGAUGGAGAGGAAAUUUCCGAGAGUGAGAGGAUGGUGAGGUAGCGGCGGAUAGGGUUUUGUGAGAUAUCUGAGAGAGUGAGUGAGGAGAGUGAGAGAUGGAAGGGAGCGUUUUUGUGCUGAGAUUUUUUCUGAGCAAAAUGAGAGUCAGUACUGUAGUGAGUAGUGAGUGGUUUUUUGUAUAUAUUUUCUUUUUGUCGUUUGUGAGGAGAGGAUGGAGAGAGUAAGUGGAGCGUGAGUGGAGCAGGGAAUGGUUACUGAGUGGGGAGAGAGUGGAGUGAAGAGAGUCUUUUGUUUUUGUUUUUUUUUUGUCGUUUGUGGGAAAGCAAAGAGAGAGAAGAUGGACUGAAUAGUGAAUUGAAUAGUGAAUGAGGGAGUUUGUUAGGAUUUGAGAGAGAUAGUGGGGAGUAGCUGGCAGACCGUUGGGAACGUGAGUGGAUUGGGAGUGGAUUCUGAAUUUUGUUUUUUUUGCGGAUUGGGUAUCCAAUGUAAUAUAUAUAUUUAUCUUGUACUUACUAUUUAUUUAAGAAAAUAAAAUCAACAACAAAAAAAAUCUAACUAAUAUAAAAAAAACUAACUAAUAUUAAAAAACAAAUAUUAUUCUAAUUUCUUUUANCUAAUAAGAUAUUAUUCUAAUUUCUUUUUUAAAUAUCAAAAAUAUUGACCAAUUAAAAAUCGGUACAAAUUUAAUUUCGGAAAAUUAAACCAAUCACACUAAAUUUGUCAGCACACAACCUAUUUUUAAAAAAAUACAGUCUUUCCUCAAUUUUAACGAUUCAACAUUUUUUGAUUCUCAAUAAAUUCAUUUUGCAGACUUCUUAGGUGUUUUCAUGAUGCAAAUGUAUGUCAUGUUAUGCAUAUGAUGCUAAAUUAAAAAGAAAUAAAUUCUACGAAAUCUAAAUGCCGGACAAAUUGGGGUAGAAGCAUCACCCAUGCAGCUAGAGGACGAGAAGUGAAGCCAGUUGUGUGGUAAAGAGUUAGCUUGGUGAAGGUAGCUUGGGCGAGGCCAGCUGGUAGAAAACUAACUUGGGUGAGAGUCAGAUGAGGGAUUUGUUUUGUCUAUAUCACUUGAGGAUUUUUUAGGGCCGAAAUUCUUUAAGUGGAUGAGGUUGUACACCUAUUUAUUGAAUAUUAUAUUAAUAAUUAUAAUUUUAUGUGUGUACUAAUUUACUAUUUGUUUGAUAAUUGAGAUGUGUUAGGCGCAACAAAUUGGUGGGAUUAUUGCGUAGAAGAAUAUGGAGAAGUGUUAUGGGUGGUGAUUUAGUUUAUAAUUUUUAAUUAAUUAAAAAAUAUUUUAGUGUUUUAUUUAAUAAAUAAAUAAAAAGGAAUUAAUUUUGGGAUGGAAGUGCGAAUUGUGAUCAAUUAAAUAUAAUGUAGUUUAAUAUAAGUUGUGCCUUAAUGAAUUUAGAAAGAUAGAUUAGGUUUUAAUUUAAGGAGGAGAGAGUGAAGGAUUUUUUUACGGUAGGUGAGAGUUUUUGGAAUGAAGGAAAAGAGGCAAGAGAGAAGAAGAAAUGAAAACCUCGUGAGAGCUCUAGGGGAGAAUAAACCAAACUUGGAUUUAUGUUGAAAUCCACACUCUUAUGGAGAAUUUAUAUCAUCUUGCGUGAAACAGAUUAUUAUCACCACACAAUGACAAUGAAAGAACAUAAUUUGAGAAGAAAGAAGAGCGAUGGAGAAGAAGAAUAUUUUCUGCAAAGUUUCUUUAUGCCCGCAACCAGUGGAACAUUCUUUUAUUCACUUUGCAACUACAAAAUUUUGUGAUACAAUGAUGAAUACAAUAUUAUCGAACUAGACUAGUUACUCCCUCUAUUUAUAGAUUUAGUUAACUUACUCAUAGAUCAAGCCCAAAACUAUAAAGUCUGAGAUAGUUACAACACUAAAAAUAAGGCCUACGUCGAAAUCCUGUGAUGAGCAAAUGCUUCGAUCUUGACACAUACACUCGCACAUAGGUGAUUCUCACUUCUUUUUUUUCGGCAACCUGCUUCGAACAAGAGAUUACAAUUAACACACCACCUAAUUCAUUAUGCAUAGCAUCUACAUUCAUCAUAACUCUUAGUCUUCUGGCACUUUGACCCACAACUCCCUUCGUCAUGAUGUUUGCUAUCGUGAUCUCUUCAUGUAGUUCUCCAUAUUCAUCUUCCCCUCUCUUGCUCUCGAAGAUAAUGGACUCAUUUGAUAUGUUGCUCAUCGACAUGUGCUAUCCGGAUUCUUAGCUAGAUGAUAGCUGACAUUGUUGAUCGAUCUUCAUGGUAUUUCUCCAUGCUCUUCUGCUAUAUCCUUUUGACCAGAUCAGCAUCACGUUGCUUGACAUGCACAAAGAAGAGAACAUCUAUAUAUUCUACUUAGCGACGACUAAUGUCACACUGGCUCCUUUCUCAACUCAAGCAAUUGUGCACCACCUAGCAUAAACACAAGCAACUGUGGAUUUUCGUCCUCAUCACACUACACCUACUUGAGUCAGUGUAUACCCAUAUAGUUUGCAUUGUUUUCCUUAUCAGUUGCAUGAAACAAAAUGCCAUAGUGAGAAUCCUUUCAGAUACCUUAGUAUCUCUUCUCGCUUUAGUGAUACCGUUUGGUGAUGCAGUGAAUUAUCACCAUACUCACUAUAUGCUAUCUAGGCCUUGUGUGAGAAUGAUAUCGAGUGCCCAAUAAAGUCUUCUAUAUUGAUUGGGUCGACAUCAUAUUCAUCUGGUCUUUCAACAAUUGUAAUCUGGGCUCAACUAGAGGUCAAAGUUGGGUUAUAAUCUUGCAUCUAAAAUCUCUGGAGUAUUUCGCCGCAUACCUUCUGUGAGCUCAUCAAACCUCUUCACUCUUGAGAUUCGAUUCCAAGGAAUAUGAAUGUCACCCAAAUCUGACAUAUUUGAUUCCUGUUGAAUCACCUUUGAAGUUUUCGAUAUCUUUCUUGAGCUACCUGUUAUCAACAACGUACAUCGAUAUAGAGACAUAGUAUAGCAAUUCACUCUGUUUUUUUACAUAUUACUGCUUGUUCAGUUUUCACUUUACAAAUUCCUUUCCUUAGGAAGCCAUCUAUUAUCUUGUUCAAGUCUUGUGAGCUGUUUAAUGCCGUACAAGCGGCUUUAUGCAGCAUGUACACCUUUCUUUCUUCGCCUUGUUUCACAACCCAGCUGGUUGUGCACCAUAAACUUCUCUCUAAGGGUCCAUUAAAGGAUGCACAUUUCACAUCCAUAUGACACAUCUGCCAGUUGUUCAUGUUGGUUAAGCCACAACCAAACCUGAUUGUUUCGAUCUAGCAAGAGGUGCAAAACUUCGUCGAAGUCGAUCCUUUCUUUUGAAAAAUUUUCUCCAAAAGUUCCGCCUAUGUGUCAAGUCACAAUUUCCUUGGGAUUCACACCUUCACCUUGUAUACCCACUUCACAUCGAUUAUCCUUCUUGUUGGGGAAUUUCAUACAAGUGUGACCAGUGUUGUUGAUUCAAUUGAUCGCGGUUCUUCGUUCAUUCUUUCACCCAUGUCGAUCUGUCAGUCCUCAGUUAGACAUUGACUGGGUCACAUCUGCGUGAAAUGCAUAUGUAACAACUCACCUCUUCGAUGAUCCAUUAUCAGUCUAAUGUAUCACACAUUCUCUACACCUUGCAGGCACGUGUUCUGUUCUUUGAGUCUGCUUUAGGCACUGUUUACCUUGACUUCUUGUCAAGACUUCUUUUCGAUCUCACUUAGCUGCAUGCUUCAUCGUAAGAUUCUCCACUGAAUCCUUCUAAUAUUCUCAAUCAAUCCCUUCCUAUAGAUGCAUAUAUGUCAUAUCUCCCUACUGUCACACUUGCUGCCACUGUGUCGAAUAACGGUGUAUUCUCGUCGAAUGAAUAUACCUAUCAGAAUUCACUGAUUGACUCGUCUAAUAAGUUUUCUUCACAACAACUGAUCCGGGCACGUUGUUAAUGUGCUAGAUCGCAACCGUCUCAAGAUGAUUCAAGCUAGACUUGUACAUCACACAACAUUCUUAUGAGACGGUAUUCUCUCUUAGCCUUUCAGUCGGAAUAUCUUGUUCAGGAUACUAUGUUCUGCAGCUAGAAUAACUUUCCCAUAAUUCUUUACGGUAUGAUGAUUGCCUGUCUCAAACAUACUUCUAACCAUAUUCACAUCGAUGGUUCUAUUUCUGUUAAGCGAUCUCAUUCAUGCUGUGAGUUGUAGGGUGACACCACCUCUAUGCAGCAUCUCGCUGUCUUACAUGAUAUGCUGUAAAGGUAUUCAGACAAUUCUCCACCACCAUCAGUCCUUGCCAGAAUCUUGUUCCUAUAUAAUGUUUCUUUGUCUUUUCGACCAUAAUUUAAACUUCGCAUAGUACAUCGAUCAUCUUCAGUUCUGUCUGAUAGUAUCAUCCAUGUUUUUGAUUGACAUCAUCAUAUCAUGAAUGUGACAAAGUAUUUAUUACCCACACAUGAAAUCGCUACCUGCGAUAUGACAUAUACAUCAAGAGUAUAUGCUUCAAGAAUGCUCUGUAUCGACUGAUUCCUGCAUCCUUAUUGAAGUGUUCUUAUGUCUGCUUCCGCCUGCAUUACAUGUCUACACACUUCUGUUUGAUGUCGGUAUUUUAUCUGAAACCAUAUUUUUACCUGUGAAUUUCUGAUGUCUUUUGAAAUGAUAUGACUAAGGUCUAAUUCCUUAUAUUCGAUCCUUUUGUUUGAAGCUCACUCUGUCUUUUCGAAGUGCUAUUAUGCUCCCAUCAAUUAUAGCUCAAUGCUUGAAGGUUCUUAUUCUAAGACAUUAGCGGCCUUCAAGGAUCAACGUUCCAGUUAGUAACUUAUCAUCUUGUCUUUGAUCUCGACACCUUUAUGUCUUUUCGACUAACUGCCUUACUGUAGAAAUAAUUGCUUAUCAGUUGGUAUGUAUACAACACAUUUGAAAUUACUGAUGCAGUCUUGCAGUUUCUUCAAUAAUCGCACAUCACCAACAUCUUCAUACGCUAAGGGUUGUCAUUUGCAGAUUUACAGCGUUCUUCAUUCUGAUGCUUUAUCGUUGACAAACCAAUAUUUCCUUCUCAGACUGUGUGUAAAGCAUCCUGAGUCAGAGUGGACUGUCUUGAAAUCCGCCAUCAUCUCCCCCGUGUAACCAGUAAGCAACCUUAUUUUCUUUGCUUUUCUCAUCUUUGCAUAAUUUCUUGAUUCUUCUGUCUUCUGGAAAAUCACUGAAUAGUACCAUGCUUACUAGAUUGUAAAUUGAAAUAUGACUCUUUCUGGCUUCUUGACAUCACCUCUUCCGUCUACUGCCACAACCACCUCUUUGGUUGCUUGGUUCUAGGGUCUUCUUCUGAUGCUACCAGUUUCGCUUCUUGUUGUUCGAGCCCAGUCGAAUGUUGUGCCUUCUAUCCUUUCUUUCCUCAACUUUCCUUUGCAUUUCCUUCUUUGAUAUUGCGCCUGCAAGCCAUAUCACUCUUUGACUUUCCUGAACUUUUUCAGUCACAUUCUUGUGUUCAUGAGGAUUCAAGAUGCCCCUUAGAAGCUGUCUUCUUUGUCAGCAUUUUACAAAUUUUUCAAUCUUCGUAUGGCUACUUAUCACAUGAUAGGUCAGAAUUGGAGCCAACGACCAUCAAGAUCUUUCCAACAACCGAGCUUUAAUGUCAACACUUCUCCACAAUGACCUUGAUUUCAAUUCACCAUUUCGAUAAACCUACAGGUGAAAAAUCAGUUAUGUCUUUCAUUGUCUGUCGCAUCAUAAGCAAUUCAUACGUCCUUUUGUGAGUCUUGUACAUUACCUCCUUUCAACCUGUCCCGCCUCAAACACUUCUCCAGAAUAUUAACCAUGCUUCCUUUGCGUGACUCUGACAUGCACUAACCUUGUUCAAUUAUUCGAUCAGACAGCAUUGCUUGCAUUAUAAAGAGGAUUUGUUAAUAUUUCUUCUAAAACAAUUUUCUUUAUGGAAGUAGCCUUUCUGAUCUGUUGGACUUUCUGCAAGAGUUGUUACUGCUUUGUUUUCAUAGAUCCCAAGAGAUCCUUUGAUAAAAUAAACAACCUUUAUCUGCUUGACACCAAUUCUCAUAUUGUUGUUCUUGAGAAUCAGAAGAUUCGAUGGAAAAUGCCAUUUGAUAUUAUUGCCAUUGUAGAUUUCUUUACAAAAAUCGCUUCAACAACAAACGGAAAGCUCUUGGAUUACCCAGAUGUUGGAAAUCCACACAACGCUAUGCGAGAAUUCUAAUCCAUCUUACCAUGAGACCAUUUGUUAUCACGCAGCACAUGACAAUGCAAGAGCCAGAAAGCAAUUGAGAAAGAGAAAGAAAAGACGAUGGAAGAAGAAGAAUUAUUUUUCAAUUAGAGUUUCUCUCUGCCAGACUUGUGAAAACUCUUUAUUCACUACUUGCAAACUACAAAAUUCUAUGAAUACAACAUUCAACAGAUAAGGUCUAUACUCCUCGCUACUUUAUAGAUUUAGACUUAACUUAUACUCUUAAGUCAAGCCCGUACAAUUAUAAAAGCCAAAGCUAAUUAGCACUCUAAAAUAGCGCAAGUCGAAAUCUGAUGUGAAACACAUGCUUAGACACUUCGAACACCCACUAGUACAACUUUGACAUCUCUCAGACAUUUUAGGUGUUUAUUCAUGAUGCAAAUGUAUGUCAUGUUAUGCAUAUGAUGCUAAAAUUAAAAAAUGAAAUAAAUUCUACGAAAAUCUAAAUAUGCCCGGACAAAAUUGGGGUACGACAGCAUCACCCAUGCAGAUAGAGGACCGAGAAGUGAAGCAGUUGUGUGGUAAAGAGAUUAGCUUGGUGAAGGUAGCUUGGGGAGGACCAGCUGGUAGAAACAUAACUUGGGAGCUUGAGAGUCAGAUGAGGGAUUUGUAUCUUAGUCUAUUCACUUGAGGUAAUUUUUUAGGGCGAAAAUUCUUUAAGUGGAUGAGAGUUGUAACACCCUAUUUUUCUAGAAAUUAUUUAUAUUAAUUAAUUAUAAUUUUAUGUGUGUAUCUAAUUAUUAUUUGUGUGAUAAUUGAGAUGUGUUAGGGCAACAAGAGUGGGUGACUAUUGGGUAGAGAGUAUGGAGAGUGAUUAGAGGUUGGUAGAUUUAUUUAUAAUUAUUUAAUUAAUUAAAAAAAUAUUUUAGUGUUAUUAUUUAAAUAAAUAAAUAAAAAGGAAAUAAUAAUUUUGGGAUGGAAAGUGCGAAUUGUGAUCAAUUAAAAUAAAUAAUGUAAGUUAAUAAUAAGUUGUGCCUUAAUGGAAUAUUAGAAAGAUAGAAAUUAGGUUUUUAAUUUAAGAGGAGAGAAGUGAAGGAAUUUUUUUACGGUAGGUGAAGUUUUUGGAAUUGAAGGAAAAGAGGCAAGAGAAGAGAAAAGAAAUGAAAACCUCGUGAGAGCUCUAGGGAAGAGAAUAACCAAAAACUUGGAUUUUGUUGGAAAUCCACCACAAUCUAUGGAGAAUUUAUAUCAAUCUUGAUGAACAAGAUUAUUAUCACCCACACAAUGACAAUGAAAAGAACAUAAUAAUUGAGAAAGAAAAGAAAGAGCGAUGGAGAAGAAGAAUAUUUUCUGCAAAGUUUCUUUAUGCCCGCAACCAGUGGAAAACUUCUUUAUUCACUUUGCAACUACAAAAUUUUGUGAAUACAAUGUUAUGAAUACAAUAUUACAAGAACUAGAGUUACUCCCUCUAUUUAUAGAUUUAGGUUAACUUACUCCAUAAGUCAAAGCCCAAAACUAUAAAAGUCUGAGAUAGUUAACACUACUAAAAAUAGGCCUAAGUCGAAAUCCUGUGUGAAGCAACAUGCUUCGAUACUUCGACACACUAGUACAACUCGACACACUAGGUGAUUCGUCACUUCCUUGCUUUUUUCGAGCAACCUGCUUCGACACAAGGAAUUACAAUUCAACACACCACCUAAUUCAUUAUGCCUAAGCUAUCUACAUUCAUCAUAACUCUUAGUCUUCUGAGCACUUUGACCCACACUCCCUUCGUCAUGAUGUUUGCAAUCUGACUCUCAGUUCUGUAGUGUUCCAUAUUCAUCUUCCCAUCUUCUACUUGCUCUCGAAGAUAAUGGAACCUCAUUUUGAUAUGCUUGCUUCGACCAUGUGCUAUCGGAUUCUUAGCUAGAUUGAUAGCUGACAUGUUGUCGAUCUUCAUGGUAAUUUCUCCAUGACUCUUCGCUAUUAUCUCUUUGACCAGAUUCAGCAUCCACGUUGCUUGACAUGCACAAAGAGAAACAUCUAUAUAUUCUACUUAGCACGACAAUAAUGUCACUACUGGCUCCUUUCUCGAACUCCAAGCAAUUGGUGCACCACCUAGCAUAAACACAUAGCCAACUGUGGAUUUUCGAUCCUCAUCAUCACUACACCUACUUGAGUCAGUGUAUCCCAUUAGUUUGCAUUGUUUUCCUUCAUCAGUUGCAUGAAACAAAAUGCCAUAGUUGAGAAUUCCUUUCAGAUACCUUAGUAUCCUCUUCGCCGCUUCUAGAUGUGAUACCUUUGGCUUAUGCAUGAAUCUACUCACCAUACCUACACUAUAUGCUAAGUCAGGCCUUGUGUGAUAAAUGUAUCGAAGUGACCCAAUAAGUCUUCUAUAUUGGAUUGGGUCGACAUCAUAUUCAUCUGAGUCUUUCAACAAUUGUAAUCUGGGCUCAACUAGAGUCAAAGUUGGGUUAUAAUCUUGCAUCUAAAAUCUCUUGAGUAUUUCGCCUGCAUACCUUCUUGAUGCAUCAUCAAACCUCUAUCACUCUUGUAGAAUUCGAUUCCAAGGAAAUAUGAAAUGUCACCCAAAUCUGACAUUUUGAAUUCCUUGUUGAGAUCACCUUUGAAGUCUUCGAUAUCUUUCUUGCAGCUACCUGUUAUCAACAAGUCAUCGAUAUAGAGACAUAGUAUAAGCAAUUCACUCUUGUUUCUUCUUACAUAUACUCCUUGUUCAGUUUUUCACUUUACAAAUUCCUUCUCCCUUAGGAAGCCAUCUAUCUUCUUGUUCCAAGCUCUUGGAGCUUGUUUAAGCCCGUACAGGGCUUUAUGCAGCAUGUACACCUUUCUUUCUUCGCCUUGUUUCACAAACCCAGCUGGUUGUGCACCAUAAACUUCUUCUUCUAAGGGUCCAUUAAGGAAUGCACAUUUCACAUCCAUAUGACACAUCUGCCAGUUGUUCAUGUUUGUUAGACCACAACCAACCUGAUUGUUUCGAUCCUAGCAAGAGGUGCAAAAACUUCGUCGAAGUCGAUUCCUUCUUUUUGAAGAAAUAUUUUCUCCAAAAGUCUCGCCUUGUGUCAAGUCACUUCUCCUUUGGGAUUCAACUUCACCUUGUAUACCCACUUCACAUCGAUUUCCUUCUUGUCUUGGGGCAAUUCAACAAGUGACCAAGUGUUGUUGACUUCAAUUGACUUCGGUUCUUCGUUCAUUUCUUUCACCCACUUCGAAUCUUUCAGUGCCUCAGUUGCAUUGACUGGUUCAACAUCUGCGUGGAAAGCAUAAUGUAACAACUCACCUCUUCAUUGACCAUAUCAUCUAAUGUAAUCACACAUUCUUGCAACCUUGCAGGCACGUGUCUUGUUCUUUGAGGUCUGCUUAGGCCUGUUUCACCUCUGACUUCUUGUCGAACUUCUCUUUCGACUUCACUAGCUGGUUCAUCAUGUAAGAUUCUCACUGAAUCCUUCUUAAUAUUCUCAAUCCAAUCCCAUUCCUUAAGCUCAUAUAUGAUCAUAUCCCUACUGAUCACCACUUGCUUGCUCACUGGAUCGAAUAACUUGUAUUCUCCAGUCGAAUGAUAUCCUAUCAGAAUCAUCUGACUUGACUUGUCAUCAAGUUUUCUUCACAACUGAUCCGGCACGUGUCUAUGUGCUAUAGAUCCAAACACCUUCAGAUGAUUCAAGCUAGGCUUUACACCAGACCAACAUUCUUAUGACGUGAUUCCUUUUAGCUUCUUCGUCGGACAUCUGUUCAGGAUAUAUGUUGCAGUCGACAUAACUUCUCCCCAUAAUUCUUUAGGUAGAUGCUUGCCUCUCAACAUACUUCUAACCAUAUUCAUGAUGGUUCUAUUCUUCCUUUAUGCGACUCCAUUCUGCUGUGGAGUGUAGGGUGACACCACCUCAUGCACAAUCCCUUCUUUCACACAUAAUGCGUCAAAGUAUUUCGACACAUAUUCUCCACCACCAUCAGUCCUCAGAAUCUUGAUCUUUAAAUUGUUUUGUCUUUCGACCAUAGAUUUAAACUUGGCAAAUACCUCGAUCACUUCACGUUUCUUCUUGAUCAAGUAAGUCCAUAGUUUUUGAUUGAAAUCAUCUAUGAAUGUGACAAAGUAUUUAUUACCUCCAAUCGAAUCCACCUGGAUAGGACCAUAUACAUCAGAGUAUAUGACUUCAAGAAUUGCCUUCGACCUAUUUCCUGCAUCCUUAUUGAAGUUGUUCUUAUGUUGCUUCGCCUGCAUACAUUCUUCACACACUUCGUUUGGAAUGUCGAUUUUUAGUAAUCCUGAAACCAUAUUUCUUCUCUUGAAAUUUCUGAUGUCUUUGAAAUUGAUAUGACUAAGUCUAUAAUUCCAUAUCCAUUCAUCUUUGCUGGCUGCUGUUGCAAGGUACUUAUGCUCCAUCACAUUUAGCUCAAUCUUGAAGGUUCUAUUCUAAGACAUUAGGGCCUUCAAGAUCAACCUUCCAUUUGAGUCGAGAACUCUCAUCAUCUUGUCUUUGAUCGACACCUUGUAGUUCUUUUCGACUAACUGCCAUAUACUGAGAAAAUUGCUUUUCAUGCUUGGUAUGUACAACACAUUUGAAAUUACUGACCUCUUGCCAUCUUUCCUCAUAAUCAGAACAUCACCAACAUCUUCAACUGCUAGAGUGUUGUCAUUUGCAAAUUUCACCAUGUUCUUCAUUGAGGCCUUUAUGUUGACAAACCAAUAUUUCCUUCCAGACAUGUGUGAUAAGCAUCCUGAGUCCAAGUACCACUGGUCCUUGAAUCUCGCUUCAUCUCUCGUUGUAACCAUAAGCAACAUCUAUUAUUCUUCAUGUUUCUCCAUCUUUGCAUAAAUUUCUUGAUUCUUCUGCUUUUCUGGAAAAUCACUAGAAUAGUUACCAUGCUUCUAACAAUUGUAAAAUUGAAUGUGACUCUUAUCUGGCUUUUGACCAUCACCUCUUCCUCUACCUGCAACACCACCUCUUUGGUUGCCUUGGUUCUAGGGUCUUCUCUGAUCCUACCAGUUUCCUUCUUGUUGAUUUCGACCAGUCGAAUUGUUGUAGCCUCUUCUACCUUUGUUUCCAUUCCAACUUCCUUUGCAUUUCCUUUCUUUUGAUGAUUGCGCCUGCAAAGCCAUAUCACUCUUUGACUUUCCUGUAACUCUUUUAGUCAUUCUUUGUUCAUGAGAUUCAAGUGCCCCUUGAAGCUCUUCCUUUGUCAGAUUUUACAAAUUUUUCAACUCUUCUAUGGCUACUAUCACAUGGUCGAACUUUGGAGCCAACGACCUCAAGAUCUUUCCAACAACAGAUCUUAAUGUCAACACUUCUCCACAUACCUUGAUUUAAUUCACCAGUUUCGUAACCUUGGUGAAGAAAUCAGUUAUGCUUUCAUUGUCUUCCAUCUGAAGCAAUUCAUACGUCCUUUUGUGAGUUUGUAACCUUACCUCUUUCACCUUGUCCCCGCCUCCAAACUACUUCUCCAGAAUUUACCAUGCUUCUUUCGUUGACUCUACAUCACUAACCUUUUCAAAGUUAUUCGAAUCAACACAUUGCUGGAUUAUAAAGAGAGAUUUGUAAUAUUUCUUCUUCAAUUCUUUAUGUGUAGCCCUUUCUUGAUCUGUUGCAUUUUCUGCAAGCGUUGUUACUCUUUUCUUCAUAAGAUCCCAAAGAUCUUGAUAACAUAACACAACCUUUAUCUGCUUGCACCAAUUCUCAUAAUUGUUGUUCUUGAGAAUCAGAAGAUUCGAUGGAAAAUGCCCAUUUGGAUGAUUCAUUGCCAUUGUGAUUUUCUUCCAACAAAUCGCUUAAACCGAAGCUCUUGAUACCAGAUGUUGGAAAUCCACCACAACCUAUGGAGAAUUUCUAUCAAUCUUGAUGAACCAGAUUGUUAUCACCCACACAAUGACAAUGAAAAGAGCAGAACAAUUGAGAAAGAAAAGAAAGAACGAUGGAGAAGAAGAAUAUUUUCAUUAGAGUUUCUCUCUGCCACAACUUGUGGAAAACUUCUUUAUUCACUUUGCAACUACAAAAUUCUAUGAAUACAACAUUGCAAGAAUAAGGGUUACUCCCUCUAUUUAUAGAUUUAGCUUAACUUACUCCUUAAGUCAAAGCCCUAAAUUAUAAAAGCCCAAAAUAAUUAACACUACUAAAAAUAGGCCUAAGUCGAAAUCCUGUGUGAAACAACAUGCUUAGACACUUCGACACACUAGUACAACUUGACACACUAGGUGAUUCGACACUUCUUUGCUUCUGUCGAACAACUUACUUUGACACAAGGAAUUACAAUUCAACAUAUUUUUCUAUAAUUACAAGGUAAGGGUGGAAAUUUGUUUCAAUAAUAGGGAUAUGAAUAGAAGGACAGAGGAAGGUUUAAUUCUUUUUGGAUUGAUGAUGAAUGUUGAUAUUUGUUGAAUGAAAUUUAUGUUUUAAAAUAUUCAUGUAUGCCCACCAUUUAUAAUGUUUGAAGGUUUUAGGAACUGAUAUAAUAUAUAGAUCCAUGAUUAUAUGAAUAUAAGUAGUGAUUGAUAUAUGUAUGUUUAUGACUGAAUUUAAAAUUAUAAAAUAUUUUUGAUGAUGAUUUCAUUGGCGUUUUUGGGGUUGUAGAAGAUGAAAAUCGUGCUGGAAAUUUUAGAAAAAUAAAAACUUUUUGUUAAUGCCUUAGUGCAUGGUUUUGAUCGUAACUUUCAACUCGUAAAUUAUUUGGGACGAGUUUUAUAGUGUUAGGUAGCUGAAACAGAGGGCUAUAACUUUGUUUUAGGGAUAAAAUAUUUUUGGGGAUGAUUUCAUGGACGUUUUUGGGGUUGGAGAAGAUGAAAAUCGUGCUAGAACUUUUAGAAAACAAUAAUAUUUUGGUAAUUUCUUUGUGCACGGUUUUGAUAAUAACUUUGAACUCGUAAAUCAUUUUGGAAAGGGGUUGGAAAUGUUGGGUAGCUGAAACAGAGAGCUGUAACUUUGUUUCAGGGAUAAAAUAUUUUUAAUGAUUUUAUCAGAGGUUGGUAGUAGGUGAGAAACAAGUGUAUGAUGUGACAAAUAUGUAUAAGGUCCAUAUUGACAAAUUAUUUGAUGUGUUAUGAAUGAUUGAGAUGAUGUAUUUGGUUGUAUUGUGCGAUUGAUUGUAGAUCACUAAAUAUUAUUAUAAUUGUUGUGUUAAUUGCAUUAUUACCGUGUCAUACAUUCAUUGUUGAUAUGUUGAAGGAGAUAAGUCUUAGGUCCGAAGGGGGACGAAAGACUUAUCUAAAACUCAGAAGGGAGAGUUCAAGAUUUUGAAGGGGAAUCAGGUUUGCAAGAAUAACCAAAUGUUGAAUUGAUACCACAUGCAUAUGAGUUGUUGUCAUGAGUCGCAUAACAUGAACGUAUUAUAUGUGUGAAAUAUGACUAUGUGUGAUGAUGGUAUUGUUGUAUGUGACGCUGAUGAUAAUUUGGGCGUGAGAAUGUGAUAUGUUAUUAUGCACAAUGGUGUAGAUGUUGUAUUAUAUUUUACAUUCUAUGUUGUUAUUAUUGAAAUGAAUUUUCUCACCCCUUCUGUUUAAAUGUUACCUUUACAUGGUCAUCAUGCAGAUACUCAAGAGUAAAGACGAUGUUGUGAGUGGAAGUUAGCUCACGGAGCUAUUUAUUUUAGUUUAUUCGUGUUAGCUUUGGUUAUGCUCUGAUAUGUAACACUAGGGAGCAAAUUAUUUAUUUUGUGUUGAAAUUUUCUAAGAGACAAUGCAUGCUCUCGUAUUUGUUUUAUGUUUUGGUGUGAUAGUACUUGGAGAAGACUCAUGAGUCAGUGCUUUUAAUUUUGUUAUGAAAACUAUUAUGAGAUUUUAAAUUGGUAUAUUUUUUUUAUUAUGAUUCUACUGCCAAGAUAUUCAAAUGAGUUGGAUAUCAUGUAAACAUCCUAAGUGCAAAUGUAUGUAGUAAAAUAUUUUGUUGUAACAUGUGAUACGAAGCAGAUUAUGAUUAUUGUGAGUGACACCCUAAGUGAUUGUAUUUCGUUAAUUAAAUUCUUUGAUAAUUACACGCGGACUUUUAGGAUGUUACAAUAUCUCAUUUAUUUAAUUUAAUUUAAUUUAAUAAAAAACUGUCAAUUUUUAACAAUUUAAAAAUAAAAAAAAAGAAAAAAAAAGAAAAUGUAUCACCACGAUUACUUUGAACAAUCGUAGUGAAAUCUGGAUAAAUGUUAGAAUAAAAAAAAAGGAAAAAAAAGAAAGACAUCACUAUGAAAAAAGAUGUAAAAUAUAUCACAUCGGUUUGAAUAUUCAACCGUAGUGAAAUCUUGAUUGUAUUUAAUUUAUAUAAAUGAAUAAUAAAAAAAGGCAAUAAAUUCACAAAUUUUUUUGGCAUUGAGAUUGAACUUUACUAAAUAUCACCAUGGUUACUAUGAUCAACCGUGACAAUGUGUUAACUUAUUUUAAUUAAAAAAUAAUUAAAAAAAAUGAUGCCUGAUUUUAGAAAGUUCAUCACGGUCUUUCAAAGAACCAUAAUAAAAUAAACGUCUUGUAAUUGUUAAAAAAAGAAAACAUAUGAUCAUGGUUGAAAUAUUCAAUUAACUUGUAUUUAAUUUAAAAAUAAAUAAAAAAGAAAUGUAUCAUGGUUAAAUUUAAAUAUAUUCAAAUUAAUUAAACUAAAUGAAAACCAAACUGUUUUAAAAUUGUUAUAAUAUAUCGGAUCAAAUCAUUAUAACACUUCCUUAAAUAUUAAAAUCGACAUGCUAUUUAAUUUGAUAGUUUAAUUGUGAGAAACAAAUCAUUAUGAUAUAAUUUUUAUCUAAAAUUUUCAUUAUUAUAUGUGUAAUCAUUAUUGAUAUUUUUUUUAAGAAACUGCGUGGUUUAAAAAAUUCUUUAAGUCGGAUAGGACCUUAAUAAAUGAUAAAACUUAAAUAAGAGAAAAUAUAAAUUUGUAAAAAUAAAUCAUAACAAUUAUCAAUUGAAAAAUGGAUUUGAUUUAUAAAAUAUUAUAGACAUUAAGUAAUGCUUUUAAUUUUAAUUAUCAAAUGCAAAAAAUGCAAAACAAUGACGUUGUAACAACCCGUAUAAUAUAUAUUUAAAAUAAUAUCAUACAAGUGUUAUUAAUUGGUACUGUCACAACAUAAGUGCCUAAUGACAUAAUUAUAUAUAUAUGUCCAUAAUGUAAAAAAAAACAUAUGGCACAUGCCAUACAAUAGUGCCUAGAUAAAAUUCUAAGAACUAUGUACAUUAUCUUCAUUGUACACAACUCCACACUGGAAGAUCACGAUAAUCAGUGUAACACCCUUCUAAAUACCCCAAAUAUUUAAUUAAAACAACAGCAUAUAAAUCAAUAUCAGAGUAAUCAUGCACCAAGGGUGUCACAUAAUACUUCACAUGAUUCACCGUAAAAAUCAGUCAUGCUCUUACUUUAAUUCAACAUAAACACUUCUUUAAAAUAAUUCGCAGCGGAUGAAACAUCAACCUCUGUAAUAUCUUAAAUUAACAUUUAUUCAACAAAUAAAACAUCCCGUCCCGAUGUUACAUCUAUCAGAGCAUGACCCUCUAACCACACUAGACUUCAAGCACUAGCUUUAUUGCGACUCACUGCUCGUUACUCCUGAAAAAUAUGGCUGUAAGGGUAGUUCCUCAAUCGAUAUAAACAAUAUUAUAAUUUAUCAUGUUAUGUUAAGUAAUUCAUACGUUAAAUCACCCUAAUUAUAUCCUGCAGUCAUUUACGGAAUAAUCAACUAAAAUAUCGUGCUCAAUCACAACGUCAAUACAGCUUCAUAACAACAUACAAUGCAACUCAAAACAACAUAAAAUGCAACUCAAUGAGACUCGACUCUUCAUGCAUGUGGUACCCUUUUGGAGUAAAACCCCCAACUUAAAAUCACUGCCAGUUUAGUGGGCAUCAAGCAUAAGCUUCAACUUUCAACUUAAAAUUUUGCCAAUCCAGGCCAACGUGGUGUGAGCAAAAGCCCCAUAAUUUUGCCAAUCCAGGCCAACGUGGUGUGAGACGAAAGCUCCGACUUAAUGCAUAUGAAUGUUAUGGCAUGUACGACUUGCAACCUUAACAACAUAAGGCAACAGCAACACAACAGCUUUUUCACACACAACAACUUAAAAUCAACGUUGGCUCAUCAGCCUACUACUCAGUAUUUUAACGAAACAACUUAUAUUCAACUUUGGCUCAUCAGCCUACAACAAGGUUUUCAAAAAACAACUUAUCACAUAUUUGCAUCAACAUUCUACAACAUAAAACCCACAAAUAUUAUCCCUACGAUUAACUACAAUGGUUCAAUCACCAAUCACAUUUACAAACAUAAAAAGAUUAACUAUUUUCCACUCUGCAAAGACUCUGCUCAACUGGAGGGAGUCGGCACAAAGGCCCCUUGCGUCGACGCAUGGGGUCGACGCUUCACUCACGGGUCGGCGCCAAAAUGCCUUGCGUCGACGCAUGCAGUCGGCGCAUACCACGGGUCAGCGCACGCCGACCCUAUGGUCGACGCGUCGCAGCGCAGACUCAGUUUUUCUGAGUUAUUCCAAAGUUCUGUUAGCUUCACGCAGAUCAGGUUUUCCGGCCGCUUCCGCAUCUAAACCCUUUCUAAGAAAACCUAAAUUGCCUGUAAUUUAGUAGUGCGAAUCAAGUUUUUAAUUGUGAUCCGUGCUAUAGUCUAACAUUUACGACUCACACAACUAUCAAUUCAAUUUGCAGUUUUUAACACGGUUUAUCCAACGUCAAUUUCAGCAUAUACAGUCCCAAUUAGGGUUAAAUCAACGGCUUCUCACUACCCAUGACAUGUUAAUCUAUAAUACCCAUUAAACGACGAUAACCCCCCUUACCUGAGAUAAUCCGACAAUUCUCUAAGCUUUAGCUUUUCCGUUCCUCAACCGUGCUUUUCGGCUCUUUGCCCUUUUUCCUCUUCUCUGCAGCUUCUCUGAGUUUCACGUAAAUUUCUUUGUUGUUAAGAAUGAAACCCUUUUCUUUAUUCCCACUUAUAUAUAAUAUUUUCCAAAUAUUAUUAUUCCCAAUAAUAUAAUAAUAAUAAUAAUAAUAAUAAUCCAAUAAUCCAAUUUAUUAAUUAAAUUAAUUAAUUAUAUUAUCAACUUAAUUAAAUAAUUCUUUUUUCUUUAUUUGGGGUGUUACAACUCUCUCCCCACUAAAGGAGUUUUCGUCCUCGAAAACAUACCUCAAGCAAAUAACUCUGGAUAGGACUCUUUCAUCUGACUCUCCAGCUCCCAAGUCACAUUGCCCACCUGCUGGUCCUCCCCAAGCUACCUUCCACUAAGGCAAUCUCUUUACCCCGCAACUGCUUCAAACUCUCGAUCUUCAAUCCUCAUAGGCGAUGUUCAACAGUCAGGUUAUCUCUCACCUGUACAUCAUCUACUUGGUCACAUGCGACGGAUCAUGAAUAUACCUCCUCAACUGAGAACACAUGAAAACAUCAUGCAAAUUCGCAAGUGACGGCGGUAAAGCGAUACUGAUAGGCUACUUCUCCCUAUCCUCUCCAAAAUCUGAUAAGGACCAAUAAAUCGCGGUGUCAACUUCUUCGACUUCAAAGCUCGACCAACACCUGUUAUCGGAGUAAACACGAAGAAACACAUGAUCUCCCUCUUGGAACUCAAGUGACUUCCUCUCUUAUCAUGAUAACUCUUCUGACGACUCUGAGCAAUUCUCAUCUUUUCCUGAAUCAUCUUAAUCUUUUCUGUAGUCUGUUGAACAAUCUCCGGUCCAAACCACACACUCUCACCGGACUCAUACCAACAUAAAGGUGUCCGACAUCUCCUACCAUACAAAGCUUCAAACGGUGCCAAUAACCAAUACUCGAAUGAAAACUAUUGUUGUAGGUAAACUCAAUCAAGGCAAAUAACAAUCCCAAGCACCUCCCUUUUCCAAACACAAGCUCUCAAAAAGAUCCCUCUAAUGACUGAAUCGUCCUCUCAGUCUGACCAUCAGUCUGCGGAUGAUAUGCAGAACUCAAUCUCAGCUUAGUCCCUAAAGCCUUCUGCAAACCUUCCCAAAACUUCGAUGUAAAUCUAGGAUCUCUGUCCGAAACAAUACUCGACGGAAUACCAUGCAAACUUACAAUCUUUUCAAUAUACAACUCGGACUAAUCUCUCUAACGGAUAAUCCAUUCUGAUCGGAAUGAAAUGAAGCCGACUUUGUCAAUCUGUCAACAAUCACCCAAAUGGCUUCAAAAAUUCUACUUGUCCUCGGUAAACCAGAAACAAAAUCCAUACUGAUACUAUCCCAUUUCCACUCUGGAAUAGCCAACGUUGCAUUAGCCCAGACGACUUCUGAUGCUCAAUCUUUGACGUUCUGACAAGUCAAACAGGAAAUAAACAAAACUUGCAAUUUCUUUCUUCAUUCCUGGCCACCAAAUAACUUCUUCAAAAUCAUGAUACAUCUUCGUGCUCCAGGAUGAAUACUCAACCCACUACGAUGUCCUUCCUCCAGAAUACUCUUCUUAAGCUCGGUAACAUCCGGAAUACACACCCGACUACAAAUUUCAAAAUACAUUCUCGUCAACUCUGAAUUCGCCCACUUGACCUUGAUUCACUAGAGUCAACUUAUCAACCAGAAGCAUAUCAGAUUUCUGACCCUCUCUGAUCUCGUCCAGAAUACCACUUGUUAACUUCAACAUUCCCAAUUUAACACUAUUGUGAGUACUCUCACACACCAAGCUCAAGUCUCUAAACUGCUCAAUUAAAUCCAAUUCCUUAACCAUUAGCAUAGACAUAUGUAAUGAUUUCCGACUCAACGCAUCAGCCACUACGUUUGCUUUACCCGGAUGGUAAUUCAAACCAAAAUCAUAAUCCUUCAGAAAUUCUAACCAUCUCCUCUGUCUCAUAUUCAGCUCUUUUCUGAUCAAACAAAUACUUCAAACUCUUAUGGUCACUGAAACCUCAAAAUCUUGACCCGUACAAAUAAUGCCUCCACAACUUCAGAACAAACACCACAGCCGCCAACUCUAAAUCGUGCGUCGGAUAGUUCCCCUCAUGAACCCUCAACUGUCUUGAAGCAUAAGCUAUAACCUGCUUAUUCUGCAUCAACACGCCACCCAAACCCAACAAUGAAGCAUCACAGUAAACUUCAAAUGGUUCCGACGAACUCGGUAAAUAUCAGAAUAGGAGCAGUAGUCAGCCUUCUCUUAACUCUUGGAACCUUCUUCACAUUUUGAGUCCCAAAUAAACGCUUGCCCCUUUCUAGUCAACAUUGUCAACGGUAACGCCAACUUGGAAAAUCCCUCAAUGACUUCCUGUAAUAACCAGCCAAACCAAGGAAACUUCGAAUCUCAGAACAGACUUCGGAGCUUCCCCACUUAGACACCGCUUCUAUCUUAGAAGGAUCAACAGCAACACCACCUCUUGAAAUCACAUGACAAGAAAACUAACCUUCUAACCAAAAUUCACACUUGGACAAUUUAGCAAAUAACUUCUUUUCUCGUAGAACUUCUAACCACUCUCAAAUGUUCAGCAUGCUCUUCUUCGGAUUUCGAAUACACCAAAAUAUCAUCAAUAAACACCACAACAAACUUGUCUAGGUACGGAUGGAAAUAUCCUAUUCAUAUACUCCAUAAAUACCCCAGGCGCAUUAGUCACACCAAAAGGCAUUACAGAAAUACUCAUAAUGUCCAUACCUGGUUCUGAAGCAGUCUUCUGAAUAUCCUCGGUUUUCACACGUAUCUGAUGAUACCCAGAUCUCAAAUCUAUCUUUGCUGAACACACUUGCACCAACCAACUGAUCCAUCAAAUCAUCAAUCCUCGGCAACGGAUACCGAUUCUUGAUCGUCACUUUAUUCAGUUGUCUGUAGUCCACACACAACCUCAUAGUACCUUCUUUCUUCUUAACCAACAACACUGGUGCACCCCACGGUGACACACUCGGACGAAUAAAUUUCUUAUCCAACAGAUCUUCCAACUGACUCUUCAGUUCAGUUAACUCAACGGCAGACAUACGGUACGGAGCCAUCGAUAUCGGCCUAGUACCAGGUACCAAGUCAAUAGAGAACUCCACUUCACGCUCUGGCGGCAAUUCAUUCACCUCUUCAGGAAACACAUCAGAAAAUCACACACCACGGCUAGAUCGCCAAUCACCAGUUUAUCUUUAGCCUCCAAAGUCGCUAACAGCAUGAACAACUUUGCUCCCUCAGCUACUGCUCCAUCCACUUGCCUUGCUGAUAGGAACAAACUCUUUUCCUCUACCAAUCUCAGGAAAGAUCGCCGUUUAUCAAAACAAUUGAUAGAAACUCGGUUGAACACCAACCAGUUCAUACCAGAAUAACAUCAAUCUGCACUAGUGGAAGACACACUAGGUCCAUCCAAAGUCUCUACCAAAAAUACUCAAAGGACAAUUUAAGCAAACCGACGUAGUAGUCACUGACCCUUCGCAGGAGUAUCAAUUACCAUACUACCAAACAUCUCAGAUAUCUCUAACUUAAGUUUCACAGCACAAUCCAAGAUAUAAAGGAAUGAGUCGCACCUGUGUCAAUAAUAGCUACAAGAGGAAAGCCAUUAAUAUAAAACGUACUCGGAUCAAACGAUCAUCAGCAGAAGUCUCAGAACCCGAUAAAGCAAAGACCUUGCCUCCUGACUGAUUCCCUUUCUCGGCUUCUGACACUGGCUUCCAAUUGCCCUUCUUCACCAACAUUAAAACAAAUCACUUCUUUGUGCUUGCAAUCAGCUAUUGCAUGCCCAGUCUUACCACAGCGAAAACACCUCUUUACUUCAGCAGUGCAUACAUUACUCUUAUGACCAGCCUGACCACAUUUGAAGCAACUAUACAGUAGGAGCACCUCCCCCACUAGCUCUCUGAGUCGGAGCAGCUCUUUGUUUCCCUUUCCCAGCUGGAACAUCAUACGGCUUGCCACGACUUUGAUGCUGCUUUCCCCUGCGGUCACUGACAAUCUUAUAAUGAGCAUUAUUGUCCUCUUCAAAUAUCCUGCAGCUAUCAACCAAUUCAGUAAAAAAUGCGUAUCUUCUGAUACCCAACAGCCUUCUUAAUUUCAGAGCGCAGUCCGUUUCAAACUUGAUGCACUUUGAAAUUCAGCACCCGCACAGUGUAAUGAGGAUAAAAUUUGGACAACUCCACAAAUUUCGCAGCAUAAUCAGUGACAGACAUGUUUCCUUGCUUCAGCUAAGGAAUUCAAUUUCCUUCUUACCACGGACAUCUUCGGAUAAUACUUCCUCAGGAAUUCCCUACGGAAUACAUCCCAAGUAACGUCUUCACCUGCCACAGUCAACCUCGUGAGUCUCUAGCCACCAGUCAUCAGCUUCGACUGCUAGCAUGUGAGUACCAUACCGAACCUUCUGAGCUGGAGUGCAAUCCAUAACACGAAAGAUUCUCUCAAUCUCUUUCAACCAUCCUAAAGCUGCAUCUGGAUCAUGCUUCCCUUUAAACACCGGCGGAUUCUCUCUCUGAAAAGUCGCCAAGCUACGUGAUCCAGCAUCUCCACCAGCAUUUGGCAAGUUCUGCACAGCUUGUGCCAUUGCUUGCAUUGCGGCAGCCAUUGCAGCGUCAUUCCUUCCAGCCAUUUCAACUUAUCAAUAACACAACUUAAAGUUAGAUGGUAACAAUACACAAUUGUUAGACAAAACGACACGACAACUGGCCGGACGGACCGACCUGCUCUGAUACCACUAAUGUAACACCCUUCUAAAUACCCCAAAUAUUUAAUUAAAACAACAGCAUAUAAAUCAAUAUCAGAGUAAUCAUGCACCAAGGGUGUCACAUAAUACUUCACAUGAUUCACCGUAAAAAUCAGUCAUGCUCAUUUAUUAAUUCAACUAAACACUUCUUUAAAAAUUCGCAGCGGAUGGAAACAUUCAACCUCUGUAAUAUCUUAAAAUUAACAUUUAUUCAACAAAUAAAACAUCCCGUCCCGAUGUUACAUCUAUCAGAGCAUGACCCUCUAACCACACUAGACUUCAAGCACUAGCUUCUAUUCGACUCACUGCUCGUUACCUGAAAAAUAUAGCUGUAAGGGUGAGUCCUCAAUCGAUAUAACAAAUAUUAAAAUUUAUCAUGUUAUGUUAAGUAAUUCUAUACGUUAAAUCACCCUAAUUAUAUCCUGCAGUCAUUUACGGCAUAUCAACUAAAAUAUCGUGCUCAAUCACAACGUCAAUACAGCUUCAUAACAACAUACAAUGCAACUCAAUAACAACAUAAAAUGCAACUCAAUGAGACUCGACUCUUCAUGCAUGUGGUACCCUUUUGGAGUAAAACCCCCAACUUAAAAUCACUGCAGUUUAGUGGGCAUCAAGGCAUAAGCCUUCAACUUUCAACUUAAAAUUUUGCCAAUCCAGGCCAACGUGGUGUGAGCAAAAGCCCCAUAAUUUUGCCAAUCCAGGCCAACGUGGUGUGAGACGAAGCCUCGACUUAAUGCAUAUGAAUGUAUAUGCCAUGUACGACUUGCAACCUUAACAACAUAAUAGCACAAGCAACACAACAGCUUUUUUCAACAACAACAACUUAAAAUCAACGUUGGCUCAUCAGCCUACUACUCAGUAUUUUCAACGAAACAACUAUAUUCAACUUUGGCUCAUCAGCCUACAACUCAGAGUUUUCAAUAAAACAACUUAUCACAUAUUUGCAUCAACAUUUCACAACAUAAAACCCAACAAAAUUAUUCCUCACGAUUAACUACAAUGGUUCAAUCACAAUCACAUUUACAACAUAAAAGAUUAACUAUUUUCCACUCUGCAAAGACUCUGCUCAACUGGAGGGAGUCGGCGCAAAGGCCCUUGCGUCGACGCAUGGGGUCGACGCUUCCCUCACGGGUCGGCGCCAAAUGCCUUGCGUCGACGCAUGCAGUCGGCGCAUACCCCACGGGUCAGCGCACGCCGACCCUAUGGUCGACCGCUCGGGCGCAGACUCAGUUUUUCUGAGUUAUUCAAAGUUCUGUUAGCUUCACGCAGAUCAGGUUUUCCGGCCGCUUCCGCAUCUAAACCCUUUCUAAAGAAACCUAAAUUGCCUGUAAUUUAGUAGUGCCGAAUCAAGUUUUAAUUGUGAUCCGUGCUAUAGUCUAACAUUUACGACUCACACAACUAUCAAUUCAAUUUGCAGUUUUUAACACGGUUUAUCCAACGUCAAUUUCAGCAUAUACAGUCCCAAUUAGGGUUAAAUCAACGGCUUCUCACUACCCAUGACAUGUUAAUCUAUAAUACCCAUUAAACGACGAUAAACCCCCUUACCUGAGAUAAUCCGGCAAUUCUCUAAGCUUUAGCUUUUCCGUUCCUCAACCGUGCUUUUCGGCUCUUUGCCCUUUUUCCUCUUCUCUGCAGCUUCUCUGAGUUUCACGUGAAAUUUCUUUGUUAAGAAUGAAACCCUUUUCUUUAUUCCCACUUAUAUAUAUAUUUUCAAAUAUUAUUAAAUUCCAAAUAAUAAUAAUAAUAAUAAUAAUAAUAAUAAUCCAAUAAUCCAAUUUAUUUAAUUAAAUUAAUAAUUAUAUUAUCAACUUAAUUAAAUAAUUCUUUUUUCUUUAUUUGGGGUGUUACAAUCAGCAUCCCUUGAAACAUUAUUAGACAACUUCUCUUGAAUUCAACCUGCAAGAAAAUUCCUGAAAAAUAACAACAAUAAUGGGAUGAGAUGAUAAUCUCAGUGAGUUCUCCUAUCAUAUGUGUCCACUCGGCUCUACAAGAUUCCUACUCGAUUCUAACUCAAGUAUUCACCUUCUGUUACUUGUGCAUCACUCGCAGCUUAUAACUAGGACUUGAGUAACUAAGGGAUAAUUACAAUGUAUGGAAACAUGUCACUUGAGUUCACAUAACUCAAUAAAUCACUAUUCGGAUUCACGAAACAUCAAUCCUCGAACGGACUUACGUCUAAGCCAGGCUCAAUUCAUGCAUGCUCGUAUGAUUCGACUUUCACGUGGAUAUCGGGUCCUCUAUGAGGCUUACUCCCCAGUUCAAGCGACCGUCACCCGUAUGGGACUCUAACCCACUUAGGUUAUCUUUCAUCGUAUGGGACUCUAACCCACUUAGGUGUUCACCUUUCCCCCAUGUCCGUCAUGGUUGGGGAUCAAACCCAAUUGAGGCAUGAAUCAUUGGUGUCACAUCCCCAUUUACUGCUUUACCUAAGCCUUCGAAGUGGUAUGUGCACAAUCACAACUAAUUCUGAAUACGUGAUUAAUUCUCAAUAACCAAUAGGACUUUCGGAGCAACACUCCUCACCAAAAUAGGACUUUUGGAAUAAAAGUUCCUCACCAAAAUAUCAAACCAAUUCUCAUGGUGUUCAUCAAAUACUAGGUGAUCACAUCCACCCAUUCACAAAGUAUUCAACAUGUUCCAUACAAUGCAUAUUGAUUCAUAAUCAAGCGAAUACUUGUUUGCAAUACACACCUAGGUAUCAUUGUGUUGAAGCAUCACCGUAUACCAUUUCCAUAACCUAAAUUAUCUUUCUAAGUCAUUCUCCUAGUUAUGCUCAUAGAUUUCCUCACUCAUCUUUAUAGAGUUUUAAUCAUACUAUUUUACAUCUAACAACAUCCAACCAAUUUAUAGCAUACACAUUAGCAUAUCAAAAUAUCAUACAAGAAAGACACAUAGUAGUAUAACAUGUCACAAUACACCCUAGGCAUAUCCGACUCACAACAUGCUCAUCAUUAUCUUAGGUUAUUCAAGUUGUUACAUACAAACAAGUCAAACAUAACCCAAGCAUAAAAUUAUCACUAUCCUUUACCAAGAAUUCUUGGUUAGCUCAUGGUCUCUCAUCACCAUGCAAUAUCUCAUUGUAUGAGCUUUUCAAAACUUUAAGUCUCAUAUCAAUCGGAUUCACGGUUCUUGAAUUAUGGCGAAAACAAGAACCAUAUAUUCAAUCAAGAAAACAACAACUCAUAAUAAAUAUAUAUAUAUAUAUAUAUAUAUAUAAUAAUUUAUAUAUAUAAUGAUGUUUUUGAAUCAUUAUAUGAUAGAGCAUUGAAAGAGCUUUCCAACGCCUCCAACUGCGUCCAAAACGGAUUUACGAAACUCAUUUUAUAGUGAAAACAUUGAACCAAUCGAUUGUUGACAAGGACCAAUCGAUUGUAUGAAGUUUCUGUCCAAAUUUUCACUACUUACAAUGGACCAAUCGAUUGAUCCCUGUAGCCAAUCGAUUGGCAUCAUAAAAAAUUCAACUUUUCUUCACCAUAACAUGAACCAAUCGAUUGGUUCUGCACGAUUGGCCUCUGUUAUUUCAUCAAAAAUUCAUUUUCUAACCACAACAAACUCCAUACUUAACCAUUCUAAACCAUACCAACACUUACACUAACACAAGUACACAUGAUUAACACUCAUAACUUCAAAGAUUAAGGUCAUACUUCAACAAUCAACACCAACACAAUAUAAUAUCAUGGUUUCAAUACAACAACACAACAUAACUCACACAAAAGUAUGUAGGAAUCAUGAUAUGAGACAUAGAAGCAUGAACAACAACAAAUUCACAAAACCUAAUCCCACUUCCAUGAAAAAGAUGAUUGGUGGUGAUGAUCAUAAUCUUCAUCAGCUUUUUCCUUCUUCUUCCUUCCUUCCUCUUCUUCUCUUCUUCCUCUUUCUCUUUUCCUCUCUCUUUCUCUCUUUGAUAACUCUCUCUUGCAUUCUUAUCUCUUCUUACUUCUUCUUAUCUACCACACAUAUAUACUAUAUAAUAUAUAUAAAUAAUAUAUAAUAUUAGAUAGUGAUAAAUAAUAUCUUAAUUGAUAUUUUGUCUUCAAGUAUCAAUUGACAAAUUAUUAAUAUUACCAAAAUAUCCUCUUUUGUACUUAUUAAUAUUAAUAUGUCUCUUUUAUUAAUAAUUAAUCUCUUCAGAAUUCACUGGUUACUCAAUUGGUCCUAACUGACAACAUUUAGAGCACAUAGGAGCUCAAAUUGUCUUACUAAUAACAAAUAGAGUAGAUAGGAACUCAAUUGGUCUCAAUUGACAACUAAUUGACAAUUUAAGGGGAUAUGAGAUAUUACAUAUGUAAUUGGAGGUUAAUACUUUUACAAUCUUCUUAAUUUUUUCACAAAUAUUUCACACACUACCUUUAGGUGGUUUGAUUUUCGUUUUAAGCGAUACGAUUAUCAAAACCUGUUUCAAUAUCUACAUGAACAUGCGUAAAAUUAUUUUAUCUUUAAAAAAAUAGUUUUUUUUUAUAUUUUUUAAAAUGGAUUCUAUAAAAUAUUUUUUAAAAUAGUAUAAGUUUUUAUAAAUUAAAAAAUUAAUUUUGACAUUCUAUAAACAUAUAAAACAUAGUUAAAAUUACAUUUUUUUUUAAAUUGUAUCUCAAAAAUAAAUUUUAUAAAGAAUUAUUUCAAAUUACUUUAAAAUUUUGAUAUUAAAUUUUUUUUUUAUAAAUGAUGAAAUACCUAAAAUAAUAUUUUAAAAAUAAUUAUUAAAACUAAAUUUUUAUUCAAAAUUUUUAUAAUUUUUUUUUUUAUAAAUAAUGUUUACACCAAAAUAUAUAAUACCAUAAAAAUGAUUUAAAAAACAAAACAAAAGCAAAUCGGUGAUAUAUCUUGUGACUAAUAAACAAAGUGAAAUAGUAUUCCCAUCUAAUUUUAAGUUAAAAAUAAUAGGUAAAUCAUCUAGUUGUAUUUAUAUUUUUUUCUUAAAAUAAUUGAAUGUUAAAAUGUUUUUUAUUCAUUUUUAAAGUUAAAAUUUAUAAGAAAAACGAUUUUUUUCUAUUUAAAAAAAAAAAUUCAUUAUUUUAUAUCGACGAUUUAACUACUUAAAACCUAGGCAAAUUUACCGAGAUAACCCAGUUUUUCGAAGAAAUUCCCAAAAUAACCCACUUUUCAAAAAAUUUCCCAAUCUACCCCACUUUUAGGAGGAGGCGCCAAUUGGAUGGGCACCCCGUUCUUAAAAUUGCAAGGAGGCGUCAAUUGGAUUGGCUAGGGCACCUGCCCUAGCCAAUCCAAUUGGCGCCUGUGUGUAAUUUUUAAGAGGGGGCGCCAAUCCAAUUGGCGCCUCCCUAAAAAAGCCUCAAAUGAAACACCUCCAACAUGAAAGUUGUAGAUCUUUUCAAGACAAUGAAUUGGAUAUAAAUUUGCAUUAUUUGGAUUUUUAUGAGAAAGUUAUGGGCAGUUGAAGUUGGACUGCUGAGUUUUUGAACUGUUAUCUGACCUAUAAUGUCUUGCAUUAUUUCAUGUGUUUCUUUUAGGAAUAUGAAUUUUUGUCCAACAUAACAUUUGAAGUAGACAUCUUAAAUUUCCAAUGCACGUGUCCCACCUCAAAAUAAUUAAAAAUGAGUGAGUUAGGUCUUUGCGAACUUGACUAAAAUAGGUUUAUGUCAAAACAAGUGGAUGUGAAUUUUGCCAAAAAGGGACCAACUCAAGCCCUUUAGUUUGAAUGAUAAAGCCUCAAAUGACAAAACCUUCAACAUAAAAGUUGUAGAUCUUUUCAAGAUAUGAAUUUGGACUAAAGUUUUGCAUCAUUGCAAUUUUUAUGAGAAAGCUAUGGGCACCUGAACUUGGACUCUUUGACAUUUUAUCUGUUAUCUGACCUAUAAUGUUUUGUAUUAUUGCAUGUGUUUGUGUUAGAGUUAUGAAUUUUUGUCCAACAUAACAAAGUGAAGUAGACAUCUUAAAUUUUCCAAUUCACUGGUCCCACCUCAAAAUAAUUAAAAUGAGUGAGGUAGGUCGUUGCGAACUUGACCCAAAAUUAGGGUUUCUGUCAAAACAUGUGUAUGUGAAUUUUGCCAAAAGGGACCAAAUUCAAGCCCUUCAACAUAACAAUAACAAGUCCUGAAUUAGGGUUUCUGACCUAUAAAUUUUUGUAUUAUGAUAUGUGUUUAUUUUAGAGAUUAUGAAAGAAACCUAAGUUUGGAGUUUACACAAAGAUAAAAUUUGACAUAAUACAAAUUGAUAUUAAUAAAAUUUGGAUUUUACACAAAGAAUCCUAAUGGUGAUGACCGGGAUCACCUAACCGACCUCCGGUCCCACAUCCCUAGCUACCCUAACCCUUGGCCCUAACCCACGUUGACGAUUCUGCACCGUGUUUGUUCAUCUGAUGGUCCAGGAGCGUCAUACCUCCUACAGGAAAGAUCGUUGAGGUAUCAGCCAACUCAGCAUAGUCUUCAGUAUUCAAUGAUGGUGUACCGGCGUAGCUGAGCUCAUGACCCAUGCCAGAGAAGUUGGGGUGUGGUUGACUCAUGGAUGGGCGACCGGGACAGUUGAAGGGAGACAUGGGUGACAAUGAUGGGUCUAGGAAAGGUUGGAAAGGUUGUUGGGGUUUGGAAGAGAUAUGGUGUGGGAUGUUAUGGUAUUGUGUGUUUGGGUUCUUGGCUACGGUAGGUGAUGGGGCGGUUAGUGUUUUGGGUAAGGCGACUUGGUAGGGUGAUGGUGUGGGUGCGAAGCGAUGUUCGUCGAAGGUUGAUGGUCCAUUGUUGGUGGUGGUAUGGGGGAUGUUCUUGUUUUGGGGUUGGUGAAUGGCAUGUUUUGGUUGUAUGUUUGUGUGUUUGUGGAACGGAAAGUUUGUCGGAUAGGUGGGUGGGGUAACCGGGGCUGAGAAGUUGUGGGGUUAGAUGUUGAUCCUUCUUGUGUGUAACUGUCUGGCGUGGGUCGUAGAGGUACAUAUCAUCGGCGAUGAAUUGAAAUCCAACUGAUCUAUACCAAGCCAUAUAAGUACGACUUGUGUUACCUCAUUUGGCAUGACUGCGUCAGUUAAGACAUGGUCAUGACGGUGCUUCCACUUGCGACACUCUGAUCUUUCGAAGGUUUGCCAAGGGUGUAGUUCCAUUGGUCGUCACUUUACGCAUAUGCCAUUCUCUCUAGGCUAGCUGGGGGAUCUGGGAUAUUCUGGACCAUACCAAACUGCAGCUUCACACGAUCGGUGUUGUGCAGCUCCACGUUGUGAACCGUAUAAUCGGUGUGCAUGUUGUCCAUACGGCUGCGUCUUCAGGGUUGAUCUGAUGCUCAUGAUCCAUAUUAAGGUAUGGACGCCAGAUGAACUGAAAUGUUAAAGACGAUAGGAUUUAAUGAAUGUAGAAAAAGUCAACAUAAUAUGAAGAAAUAAUGAAAUUAUUUUGCUUACGUCUGCCGGUCGAGAGUGAUCCAACAGGUUGCGAUAUUGAGUAAAUACAGUGUCUCCGACAUCUGUUGUAAUUCAUACCGCGUGCCGACCAUCUACACCAAAAAGUCAAAAUAAAUUAGUUAUGGGUAAUAAACUGUAAGGAAGGAAGUAAAGAUAUAGCAAUUUAAACAACUUACUUUUUGCAUAUGGAAAGUGAAGGGGUGUUAUUUGACCGGUGCUAGAGACGGUAGUCUUGACCAUCCCCAUGCUUGUAGCAAAACAGCACAUCCAGAAAAUGUAGAAGUAUCUUUGUGGGAGUUUUUGCACAACGAACUAUAGAGAUAGGCUAGAACUGCGGAUCCCCAACUAUAACUACCUAUUCUAUCUAUAUGUCUAAGUAAGGUAGUAAUAAUAUGCAUGCUAGAACCACUACCUUCGGGAAAUAAAAAGGAUCCUAGUAACAACAUUAUGUAACACCUAGUUUGAUGAUUCGAAGCAUCUCGGUAGAAUGCUCAUCUAAAUAAAACUAUUAUAAUAUGACUUUAGGCCGUGAAAGUAGUAUACCUUGUCCCCUAGCAUUUACUAACAAAUCAGUGUUUAAAAGCUCCAUGCAAAUUGAAUUUGCAUAGUUGGUCUUACCAUUAACAGCUUGCUUCAUAUUCGUAGUCCUAAAAGCAUGUAGACGUCUCUAACGUCACGGUACACUCACGGUUGGAAACCAAAAUGUGUGUGUCUCUGGCCUCCAUCUUUCGCAUAAGGCUAGAAUGAACUUGUUAUCUUAGACCAGACAUAAUUUUGCUAAGGUGACCAAAACCGGCGAGUUCAACAUAAGGUUGAAUCAUCGGGUCCAUUGGGACAAAUUCGUGGACUCGAGUUCGAAACCUUGAGACAUCUAUAAUAAAAAUAUGUAACACUUGACUAAGUCGGUAUUUCAAUAAAAUGGGGUGUGGAGAUGAAACAAAAAAAGAAGUAUAAGAAAAACUUACGUAUGUCGCGAUGUGUUGCAACUGUUCCUCUGUGUGCUUCGCCCAUUGUGAGUAAAGACAUAUUGUUGGGGAGUUGGUGUAGAUGAAAAUGGAAGAUUUGUUGAAGAUGAAAUUGUAAAAGAAGUAAUGUAGAUUGUAGAUGAAGGAGUGAGAAUGUUGGUGUGGAAGAAUUGUUGAAGGAUGGAUCAAUUUAUAGGCAAAUGGAGGAGUGCAUGAAAAUUGUGUUUGCAUGGUGUCUCCACCUCAUUUGGCGACCAUGUACAAUAUUCAAGAGGGGCGCAUUCAAAUUGGCGACACCAUAGGGUACAUGCAUGCAAGGCUAGUUCUGAAUGCUUGGUUUCGAGGACUGACUCCAUGGGGGCGCCCUUCAAAUGGGACCAUGUACAAGCCCUAAAGGUAGGCGCCAAACCAAUUGGCGCCACCUUCUGCAUGUCUGACACUUGGCAGUGUGUUCCUGCAUGCUGAACAAUCACUUAUGGAUGGCUUGCAUGAUUGCCACAUCAUCUCUGACCAUCUUAGUGUCCGACACGUGUCUGUCUUGUCUCCUGCAUGCUGAUGACUACCUUCUUGAUAGCUUGCCUGCUUGACACAUCAACUCACACUGUCUUGCAGGAUUGACACAUCAUCUCAGACACGUGCCUCUAGUAUCCUGCAUGCUGAUACUCACUUCUGUUCUUGACUAGCUAGCAUGCUUGACACAUCAUCUCUGACCAUCUUAGGUGUCCGACACGUGUCUGUCUUGUCUCCUGCAUGCUGAUGACUACCUUCUUGAUAGCUUGCCUGCUUGACACAUCAACUCACACUGUCUUGCAGGAUAUGCAAGUAAUCUCAGACAAGUGGCUCUCUAGUAUCCUGCAUGCUGAUAGUCACUUUUGUAUUGACUGCUAGCAUGCUUACAGAACAUCAAACUCAUGAUCACCUAGCAUGCUUGACACUCAACUCACACUGUAUUGCAGACAAGCACCUCAUCUCUGAAAUUAAUGGCAUGUUGACACAGUAUCUCAGAUAGCUUCAAUGUGAGACACUGUACCAUGUAUUUAAGUGUCUUACUAUCACAUUCAUCUGCACUGCAAACAUACUUUUCAUCUCCAAAAUACUUUUCAUCUUCACUCACAUUCAUCUGCAUUGAAAAUACUUUCAUCUUCACUCACAUUCAUCUGCACUUGCAAAAUACUUUUUAUCUCCAAAAUGUCAUCUUCAUCAUUAUACAGUAUCAACGUUCACUCAAUACCAUUAGAGUGACAAUGAAAGAGAAUGCAACCUUUUGCAUUCAAAAAAGAAUACAAUCUUUAUAGCAUCAGGUAUUGUGUCAAAGAUGACAUAUCAGAAUCCUAUAUUUUUUGAGAAUGGUCAAUGCAAGUUUUCCCCCUAAAAAUACGAGACGAUGAAGAU
rnacentral:lncRNA from 1 species